rnacentral:antisense_RNA from 1 species
CUUCAACGACCCGAGCCGCAACGGCUCCGCGCGGUCCUGGCCGUAGGUGGCGAGCAGCGCCUGGGCCUC